GUUAGCGGCGGACGGGUGAGUAACACGUGGGUAACCUACCUAUAAGACUGGGAUAACUUCGGGAAACCGGAGCUAAUACCGGAUAAUAUUUCGAACCGCAUGGUUCGAUAGUGAAAGAUGGUUUUGCUAUCACUUAUAGAUGGACCCGCGCCGUAUUAGCUAGUUGGUAAGGUAACGGCUUACCAAGGCGACGAUACGUAGCCGACCUGAGAGGGUGAUCGGCCACACUGGAACUGAGACACGGUCCAGACUCCUACGGGAGGCAGCAGUAGGGAAUCUUCCGCAAUGGGCGAAAGCCUGACGGAGCAACGCCGCGUGAGUGAUGAAGGUCUUCGGAUCGUAAAACUCUGUUAUUAGGGAAGAACAUACGUGUAAGUAACUAUGCACGUCUUGACGGUACCUAAUCAGAAAGCCACGGCUAACUACGUGCCAGCAGCCGCGGUAAUACGUAGGUGGCAAGCGUUAUCCGGAAUUAUUGGGCGUAAAGCGCGCGUAGGCGGUUUUUUAAGUCUGAUGUGAAAGCCCACGGCUCAACCGUGGAGGGUCAUUGGAAACUGGAAAACUUGAGUGCAGAAGAGGAAAGUGGAAUUCCAUGUGUAGCGGUGAAAUGCGCAGAGAUAUGGAGGAACACCAGUGGCGAAGGCGACUUUCUGGUCUGUAACUGACGCUGAUGUGCGAAAGCGUGGGGAUCAAACAGGAUUAGAUACCCUGGUAGUCCACGCCGUAAACGAUGAGUGCUAAGUGUUAGGGGGUUUCCGCCCCUUAGUGCUGCAGCUAACGCAUUAAGCACUCCGCCUGGGGAGUACGACCGCAAGGUUGAAACUCAAAGGAAUUGACGGGGACCCGCACAAGCGGUGGAGCAUGUGGUUUAUUCGAAGCAACGCGAAGAACCUUACCAAAUCUUGACAUCCUUUGACAACUCUAGAGAUAGAGCCUUCCCCUUCGGGGGACAAAGUGACAGGUGGUGCAUGGUUGUCGUCAGCUCGUGUCGUGAGAUGUUGGGUUAAGUCCCGCAACGAGCGCAACCCUUAAGCUUAGUUGCCAUCAUUAAGUUGGGCACUCUAAGUUGACUGCCGGUGACAAACCGGAGGAAGGUGGGGAUGACGUCAAAUCAUCAUGCCCCUUAUGAUUUGGGCUACACACGUGCUACAAUGGACAAUACAAAGGGCAGCGAAACCGCGAGGUCAAGCAAAUCCCAUAAAGUUGUUCUCAGUUCGGAUUGUAGUCUGCAACUCGACUACAUGAAGCUGGAAUCGCUAGUAAUCGUAGAUCAGCAUGCUACGGUGAAUACGUUCCCGGGUCUUGUACACACCGCCCGUCACACCACGAGAGUUUGUAACACCCGAAGCCGGUGGAGUAACCAUUUGGAGCUAGCCGUCGA
rnacentral:rRNA from 1 species